rnacentral:tRNA from 1 species
GUGGGCGUGGCGCAGCGGUAGCGCAGUGGCUUGUGGUGCCAUUGGUCGCGGGUUCGAAUCCCGUCGCUCACCCA